UAAGAUGAGAAACAAGGUCUAGACUCUAGAACCUUCUCCUGACUCAGCUUCCUUCCACUGCAGGGCCAGGCUCAUGUUAUUUUUGUGGGGUUCGCAACUUCACUUAGUUUCUCUACCUUUUGGACGAAACACAUGAUUAUAUAUAUAUAUAUAUAGUUAUUAAAUUCAUUUCUUGCACCCACCAAAACCUUAACAAAAAACAACCUUCUUUUCUUUGUACGCUGAAACCAGGCAGUAGUAUAGUAUUAUAUUCACCAAAUAAAUAUCCCCCCCUUUUGUACGCUGAGAAAACGGAAGUUAUGUCUAACAACAAUGCUACUAUUCUGUUCUUGGAAUCUGUAAACAAGCCUCAGAUUCUGAUAUUCGCUGUGCUUACAGAAAGCUUGCUCUGAAAUUAAAUGGCACCCGGAUAGAUGGAUGAAGAAGGAUCCUUGCAUUAAGGGAGAAGCUAAACAUAGAUUUCAGCAAGUUCAAGAGGCUUAUUCUGUUCUGUCGGACAAGAGGAAGAGAUCACUGUAUGACACAGGGUUGCUUCACCUCAUGGGAGAUCGAUGAUAUAGAAUUCUGCGAGUUUAUGCAAGAAAUGAUAACAAUGAUGAAAGCUGAGAAAUCUAGUCUAGGGGUGCGAACACCUUCAAGAGCUGUUAUUAGACAUGCAUGACGGGUGAUAUUGAUGAAUCCCUUCAACCAAAGCGAAGACGUGUGUGUAUAUGAUCGAUUUCAGCCUCUGAAAAUGAACAACCUCUUGGUCUUGGUCGGGAGCACUUCACCCCUUUAAUUAGUGUGUCUACAUGACGCCAAUACAGAAUACUCUAACAAAAAACAUUACUCGUCCAUCUAUAUAUGAUCCUUGAUUAUGUAUAAUCUAUUUUGUUUAUUUUAUUCCAUUUUCCACUCCAUCGAUAUCUUUGUUUAGUUCUAAUAGAGAAGGUGAUCUACUCUUGCAAUUACUCGGUCAAUUUUUCCCAACCAAAUGUUGGGAUAUAUACUAUUAACCAUGGAUUUUGGUUUGGAUAUAGGAUUUAUUAUGGAAUAACUAUUAUUUAA